GGUUCCUCUCCAAAAGGAGAACUCAGGAAUCCAGGCAGCUGAAGAUUGCGGCGCUGCAGGCGAUGUCAAGGACAAAAGCUGUGCGUCUGUGGGACGGUGCGGGGCAAGGGGGGAAACGGAAAGCCUCCGCAGAAGCUGAUGCCAGCGGCCUUCCUCUGAAGCGCAGCCACGUGGAAAGCCAGGAGUGUGGCACAGCACCCAAGAGAGUUACCUCUCCUGUCCUGAUUUACAAUGG